CCCUUAGAUGUUCUGGGCCGCACGCGCGCUACACUGACGAUGGCAACGAGUUUUUCCUUCGCCGAAAGGUGUGGGUAAUCUUUUGAAACAUCGUCGUGCUGGGGAUAGAUCAUUGCAAUUUUUGAUCUUGAACGAGGAAUUCCUUGUAAGCGCGAGUCAUCAGCUCGCGUUGAUUACGUCCCUGCCCUUUGUACACACCGCCCGUCGCUACUACCGAUUGAAUGGUUUAGUGAGGACUCCUGAUUGGCGCCGCCGCCCCGGCAACGGAGCAGCGGACUGCCGAAAAGUUGUUCAAACUUGAUCAUUUAGAGGAAGUAAAAGUCGUAACA
rnacentral:rRNA from 1 species